UGGCUCGAGAGCGAACGCUGGCGGCAGGCCUAAUACAUGCAAGUCGAACGGCUCUUCGGAGCAGUGGCGGACGGGUGAGUAACGCGUGGGAAUGUGCCCUUUGGUACGGAACAACUACAGGGAAACUUGUGCUAAUACCGUAUGUGCCCUUCGGGGGGAAAGAUUUAUCGCCUAUUGGAGCAGCCCGCGUUGGAUUAGGUAGUUGGUGAGGUAAAGGCUCACCAAGCCUACGAUCCAUAGCUGGUCUGAGAGGAUGACCAGCCACACUGGGACUGAGACACGGCCCAGACUCCUACGGGAGGCAGCAGUAGGGAAUCUUGCGCAAUGGGCGAAAGCCUGACGCAGCCAUGCCGCGUGUAUGAUGAAGGUCUUAGGAUUGUAAAAUACUUUCACCGGGGAAGAUAAUGACGGUAACCCGGAGAAGAAGCCCCGGCUAACUUCGUG
rnacentral:rRNA from 1 species